rnacentral:rRNA from 1 species
AUUGAACGCUGGCGGCAUGCUUUACACAUGCAAGUCGAACGGUAACAGGCCGCAAGGUGCUGGCGAGUGGCGAACGGGUGAGUAAUGCAUCGGAACGUGCCCAGUCGUGGGGGAUAACGCAGCGAAAGCUGCGCUAAUACCGCAUACGAUCUAUGGAUGAAAGCGGGGGACCGUAAGGCCUCGCGCGAUUGGAGCGGCCGAUGUCAGAUUAGGUAGUUGGUGGGGUAAAGGCUCACCAAGCCAACGAUCUGUAGCUGGUCUGAGAGGACGACCAGCCACACUGGGACUGAGACACGGCCCAGACUCCUACGGGAGGCAGCAGUGGGGAAUUUUGGACAAUGGGCGCAAGCCUGAUCCAGCAAUGCCGCGUGCAGGAAGAAGGCCUUCGGGUUGUAAACUGCUUUUGUACGGAGCGAAAAGGCUCUGGUUAAUACCUGGGGCUCAUGACGGUACCGUAAGAAUAAGCACCGGCUAACUACGUGCCAGCCGCCGCCGUAACAC